GUAAUCAUCGUAAUUCAUAGAAGUUUGUGAAAGCGGUCUAACCUUGACUUGGCUCUUAGCACAACGUAGAUAACCAUCAAAACCAUAUCAUAUUAUCAUACCCAAUUAUAAUAUUUACAUUACGCAUACAUUUAUAUGAUUAUACUAUUUACCUCUUAACACUACUUCCGAAAUCUCACGUCGUAGCUCGUGACCUAUACGAGGCACUAGACGUUACUAAACUUUCUAGAAAACAUGUCUUAGCAAUCUAAUUACUUAAAAUCUUACCAUAGAGAUAAUUUAAUAAAUAUUCAAAUAUAAAAAUAUUACAUAAAAUAAUAUUAUUCCAAAACGCAUAUCAUAAUCUUAAUAAUUUUAUAAAAAAAAAAAAAUUAAAGGUCAAUUGGAAUAUUAACUAAGAUAAUAAGCUGUAACAAUAUAAAAGAAUACUUUAAAAUAUGCUUAAAAGCCCUUCAAUAUUUUCUAUAAAAGAAAGAGUCUAAGACUAAUAUAUUUAUUUAAGUAAAACUUUGGUCUGAUUUAAAUUUCAACCCAGCCCCAAUUACAUAAAAAUCCAUUUAAAGUUACUAAAACAGUUGCUGUAAAUACAACCAACCCAAUAAAAUAAUCAAGUCUACAAGAAAUUAACUCAUUUAACUAUUAAGAUAAAUUUUUGAAAUAUACUAAAAUCAAACCCAAUUUAAAAUAAAAGUUCAUAUUAAUGAAACAUGUCUAAUUAACCUCAAGCCCAGCCCACAAGGAAAAAAAAUAACCCACGUAUAUAGGUUUAAAACAUAAAGUCGGUCUAGUUAUUAGAGAGUAAAGAGGUAACCUCACCAAAAGUUCCUUUACGAGGCAGUUUACAGAAAGGUUAGGUAUAGUGGGUUGGAGGGUAUUUGUGUAGUAACCAAAACUUGCAUGUGCCUUUCAGUAAAGUAAAAGAAAUAAAAGGACAUGAACAAAGGAAAUAAUCAUUUGCUAGAGAAAGAAGGCCAUGCGAUGGGAUUUGAGGCUUGCUAAGGAAAAGUAACGUGCAACAAGAGAGAGAAAACUGACAAGCCGAGAAACACUAGAGAGAGAGAGAGAGAGAGAGAGAGAGAGAGGUGGCAGACUGCAGUGGCUUACUAGAUAGUGGGGUGUUCGACGAAGUGGGCUGACUGGCAGUGUUUGUGCACAAUUGAAGGUGCUCCGACAAGGUGGCUGGGUUAAAAAAAAAAAAAAAAAAAAGAAGGGGUUGCACAAGUACUUUCUUUUCUUUUCCCUCUUUGUCGAUUAAAAUUCUGAAUGAUUAAUCUGAGGGUUUGGUGGGAUUUUAAUGAGGGAGGGUUUCUUACUUACGUGGUUCAUUAGGAGAUUAGCUAGAUCUGAUUUGAUUCUGAUCUUAAAAUCUUUUCAAAACAAAAAAAAAAAAAAAAUUGAAACCCAUCCAAUAAUAAUAGAGAAUACAAGAUAAAGGAAACUACCUUAAAAACUCUAAUUAAUCUGGUUUAUUAUCUCAUUUAACAAAAAAUAAUAAUUAUAAGCAUCUGAUAAAAAUAUAAGUAAAUAAUAAAAUGAAUAAAUAAAAUAAUAACAUAAUAAUUAUAAUAAUUAAAUAAAUAAAUAAAUAAAUUCUAACUGAAUUAAUCUAAAGUCUUAUUCUAGGUUCGUAUGUUACAAAGUCACCUGUAGUUACUGUAGUAUUCUUGGACAUACAGUUGACAUAUGUUAUAAACUCCACAGUUAUCCUCCAAACUAUAAGUUUUGAGACAAGGCAAAAUGUGGACCUGCCUCUAUUAAUACAGUCCAAACCACUGAGGGUUCAUCUACUCUGCCCCUGACUAUGGAACAAUGCCAAUAACUGCUGGCCUUGCUAAAACCAGCUUCCUCUCCUGCCAGUUCUGUCAACAAUGCCAUUCCCUCAGUCAACAUGGCACUAGUUCCAAACUUUUCAGGCACUAGUGAGGAGUUGGCAGAUCCAUCACAAUACAGAAGGUUAAUUGGCAGGUUGAUAUAUCUAAUCAUCACAAGGCCAGAUAUUGCCUUUUCUGUUCAGAAAUUGAGCCAAUUUAUGCAUAAGCUAAGGCGACCACACAUGGCAAUAGCUCACAGAGUUGUUCAGUAUGUCAAAACCACAGUUGGUUUAGGUUUAUUUUUCUCCUCUGCCUCAACUGAUUUUCAACUGAAAGUGUAUACAGAUUCUGAUUAGGCAGCACCCUGAUGCCAGAAGGUCUGUCUAUGGGUAUACUAUUUUCUUGGGGGACAAUCUAGCUAGCUGGAAGUCAAAAAAGCAGCAUACCAUCUCUAGAUCCUCUGUUGAGUCGGAUUAUAGAGCAAUGGCAGCAGCUGUUUAUGAGAUAACUUGGCUGAAAAACUUAUUGACAGAUUUUGGCAUUGUUCAUUCUCAAGCUGCUCUAAUGUAUUGUGAUAGUCAAGCUGCAA